rnacentral:rRNA from 1 species
CCUACCGGGGGCAGCAGUGAGGAAUAUUGGUCAAUGGCCGGAAGGCUGAACCAGCCAAGCCGCGUGAGGGAAGACGGCCCUAUGGGUUGUAAACCUCUUUUGUCGGAGAACAAAACCCGGGACGUAUCCCGGACUGCGUGUAUCCGAAGAAAAAGCAUCGGCUAACUCCGUGCCAGCAGCCGCGGUAAUACGGAGGAUGCGAGCGUUAUCCGGAUUUAUUGGGUUUAAAGGGUGCGUAGGCGGUCCGUUAAGUCAGCGGGAAAAUUGCGGGGCUCAACCCCGUCGAGCCGUUGAAACUGGGAGACUUGAGUGGGCGAGAAGUACGCGGAAUACGCGGUGUAGCGGUGAAAUGCAUAGAUAUCGCGCAGAACUCCGAUUGCGAAGGCAGCGUACCGGCGCCAGACUGACGCUGAGGCACGAAAGCGUGGGGAUCGAACAGGAUUAGAUACCCCUGUAGUC